GUGGGGAAUCUUGCGCAAUGGGCGAAAGCCUGACGCAGCCAUGCCGCGUGGAUGAUGAAGGUCUUAGGAUUGUAAAAUCCUUUCACCGGUGAAGAUAAUGACUGUAGCCGGAGAAGAAGCCCCGGCUAACUUCGUGCCAGCAGCCGCGGUAAUACGAAGGGGGCUAGCGUUGCUCGGAUUUACUGGGCGUAAAGGGCGCGUAGGCGGACAGCUUAGUCAGAGGUGAAAGCCCAGGGCUCAACCUUGGAAUUGCCUUUGAUACUGGCUGUCUUGAGUGUGGGAGAGGUGAGUGGAACUCCGAGUGUAGAGGUGAAAUUCGUAGAUAUUCGGAAGAACACCAGUGGCGAAGGCGACUCACUGGCCCAAUACUGACGCUGAGGCGCGAAAGCGUGGGGAGCAAACAGGAUUAGAAACCCGGGUAGUCC
rnacentral:rRNA from 1 species